CGCGUAGGCGGUGUCGCAAGUCGGGUGUGAAAGCCCUCGGCUCAACCGGGGAAUUGCAUCCGAAACUGCGGUGCUAGAGUGUGGUAGGGGGGAGUGGAAUUCCUGGUGGAGCGGUGAAAUGCGUAGAUAUCAGGAGGAACGCCGGUGGCGAAGGCGACUCCCUGGCCCAUAACUGACGCUGAGUGCGCGAAAGCUGGGGGAGCAAACA
rnacentral:rRNA from 1 species